rnacentral:rRNA from 1 species
CAGUCGCCGCGGGAAAACGGAGGGUGCAAGCGUUAUCCGGAUUUAUUGGGUUUAAAGGGUCCGUAGGCGGACUUAUAAGUCAGUGGUGAAAGCCUGUCGCUUAACGAUAGAACUGCCAUUGAUACUGUAAGUCUUGAGUAUAUUUGAGGUAGCUGGAAUAAGUAGUGUAGCGGUGAAAUGCAUAGAUAUUACUUAGAACACCAAUUGCGAAGGCAGGUUACCAAGAUAUAACUGACGCUGAGGGACGAAAGCGUGGGUAGCGAACAGGAUUAGAUACCCCAGUAGUCCCUGUCUCUUAUAC